GUAGCGAAAUUCCUUGUCGGGUAAGUUCCGACCUGCACGAAUGGCGUAAUGAUGGCCAGGCUGUCUCCACCCGAGACUCAGUGAAAUUGAACUCGCUGUGAAGAUGCAGUGUACCCGCGGCAAGACGGAAAGACCCCGUGAACCUUUACUAUAGCUUGACACUGAACAUUGAGCCUUGAUGUGUAGGAUAGGUGGGAGGCUUUGAAGUGUGGACGCCAGUCUGCAUGGAGCCGACCUUGAAAUACCACCCUUUAAUGUUUGAUGUUCUAACGUUGACCCGUAAUCCGGGUUGCGGACAGUGUCUGGUGGGUAGUUUGACUGGGGCGGUCUCCUCCUAAAGAGUAACGGAGGAGCACGAAGGUUGGCUAAUCCUGGUCGGACAUCAGGAGGUUAGUGCAAUGGCAUAAGCCAGCUUGACUGCGAGCGUGACGGCGCGAGCAGGUGCGAAAGCAGGUCAUAGUGAUCCGGUGGUUCUGAAUGGAAGGGCCAUCGCUCAACGGAUAAAAGGUACUCCGGGGAUAACAGGCUGAUAC
rnacentral:rRNA from 1 species